GAGACAAGCUUUUUUUAGAGACAAAGGUUUAAAAAAAUGUGAAAUGAAAAAAAUUUUAAAAAUAUGAAAAAAUGUGAGAUUCAAAAAAAACAUAAAAAAGUUCAUAAAAAAUGUAAGAAUAUGUACUUUUGACAAAAAAAUUAAUUAAAAAAAGAAAAAAGUUAAAAAAAAUUUAAGACAAUUUAAGAAAAUAUUUUUAAAAAUUGUUCCUGAUCAUGGAAAUUGUUUUGUAAAGAUGUAGAACAUGGGAACUUGAGAUGGAAAAAUUAUUUUACAUAGGACAAAAAAUAUCGCUUCCAGCUCUCGUAUGGUAUUUUGGACGAUCAGAAUACAAGCAGCAUUUAGGAGGCAUAUGUACUUUGACGAAAAAGAGGAUUUUAAGCAACAAGUGAUUUAAAAAUUGUAUAAAAAAUGUACAAAAAUUAAUUUUUUAUAAAUAAAUGAAC